CUUGGAACCACAGUUACCACC
rnacentral:miRNA from 1 species